GUUCACUGGACCCCUGGGCUGACAUGUUAGAAGUCUGACUACUGUGAUGCUGCCAUGCUGUGAGAAAGCCCAAGCUACAAGGAAAGGUCAUAUGUGGGUGCUUCAAUUGACAGUCCCAGCUGAGCCCAGCCUUCAAGUCCCCACAGCCAGGCACCAGACAUAGGACUGAAGAAGCCUUCAGAUGAUUACAGCCCCUAGCCCUUUAAGUCAUCCCCAACUGCUUGAGCCUUCCAGCUGAGCCCUAUACAUCACAAAGGAGAGACAAGUCAUCCUUGCUCCGCCCUGACCUGACCCAGAGAAUCUGUGAACACUGUGAAACGGUUGUUGUUUUACACCGUAGAUAACCAGGCAGGCAGAAUUCAUCUCCGAGGAACUGGUUCUUUUUCCUUGAAAGCUGAUUCAUGGCCCUUUGGUUAUGGCAGGAAGGGUCCCAGUUCAUCUGCAGAGAUGAGCUGCUCUGCACAGAGGAGCGAUAGGAAUUCAGGAGUUGUCUUCUUGUAGCUAAAUGAUGAGUUGUAGGGGUAAGAUUGGAACUGGGAGAAGAGAGGAUACAGGAGAAAAGCUUGAGUAAAAAGAAGGUGAAAUGGUAGAAAGCUGGACUCUAAGAAGGAAAGUAACUGGUGAGAAAUUCUGACGGAUGGCCAAGGAACUCGAGGAAUGGAGAUGUCUAAUGUUCUAUUUUAAGUUGGUUCCUGCUCCUUGGUGCUGCUCUAUUACCUCGAAACUUUCAGAAAAAGUCUGACAGAAGAGACAGAAACUAUAAACUAUAAUUUGGUUUCAGUUCAGGUCACUAAAUGCCAUUUCUGGCAUCCCUGAACUUGUGAAUGACCAAUGAUCAUAUGAUCAUGUGAGUUACUAUCAUCUCUAACCUGUGUACAACUGCCACAGCAUGAAUUAGUGAAAGGAUACAGAGUAAAGUCAGCAAAGAAGAAAGGCUUUGGAGCAAAGCCAGGAGAAACCACAGGCUUCCAAGUGAACCCUCCCGGUGGAGUUGCAUGAGGACUCACUUCAUUCUCCCAGCAACAGUGUGUGACAACCCAUGGUGGUGUUGCCAAUUGGAAAAGCUCACCCAAGCCUUGUUGUCCAAAGCUCUUAAUGAGGAGUCAGUCAUGGAGACAUACAAAGCCUGUGUAACUGGCCUCGCUGCCCCAAUAACUCCCUCUCCCCCACCCCCAGAGCCAAACUAAGAGUUCAUCUUAAGUCAUUUUAUUAGGAUAAACUUAUUGGGUCAAACUGAUAUAGCCUCUCCCAAGGCCCCAGGGAUACAAAAACAUUCAUCAGUCAGAAUAUUCCAAGGGCCCCCAAAACUCAAGCACCUGCACCUCUUCUCCAAGGACUGCCUUCACACAGCUGGAACCACUUUGCUCACCUUUAAAAAGAGCCAUAGGUACCUAGGAUCUGCCUCCAUGCUGGGAUGGCCCUUGCCUAAGCCUGACAGGUGCAGGAGUGAAAGAGCGAAGCAACCUUGCCUUGUGUGUAGACAACGUUGAGGUGUAGCUUGUAUUCCAGGGUUUCCCUGUAGGAUAGUGUUAACUCUGACCUCUAUGAGACUUUGCCUGAAAUCACUCUCUUGCUUGACUUCCUUUUUUUUUCUUGUCCUCCUACACCCACUCUUUUACUGGUCUCCCUAGCAGCAUUCAGUGAUGUGCUGACACUGGCUAGUUCCAAAAGCUGAUUGUUAGCAACUCUUCCCAACUCCAUAUUCAGAGAUAUCCUGUUGGUAGCUUUAAACUGGUCAUGGUGGAAGUACUCACUAUAGAGUAUUUGUGGAAAUUGUUGAAUGCUUGAUUUAUUUAUCAAGCUUAUUUAUUUUCUUUCCAUAAAGCCAGUUGUUACUCAUUUACUAUCACACCACUGAG
rnacentral:lncRNA from 1 species